GCGCUCCCCGCGGAGGGUCAGCGUGACCCCGGCAGGCCUGGCAGGGCGCCUCCGCGGGGAGGUCGGGCAGAGAUCCCCGUCCCUGCAACCGCAGCUCGUCCGACCGGCGCUUUCCCGCACGCAGCUCCGCAGCGGGGACCACGGGGCAGGGGCUUCCUCCUGCUUGCUGCAAACCCGGGGGCAGGAACGGGUGUGCGCUCAUGCACCUGCGCGGACGGGGCGGGACGUGCGCCCCCGCCUCCCUCCGAGCCCCGCGACUCCGCCCGGGCUGGGCAGAAGCGGGCGUGAGGCCGCAGCGAGGGAGCUGCGCAGGGGCCACAGGAGGCGGUGCGGGGCGGGAGCCUCAGGCAGAUGUUGGGGCUAAGGAAGGCUCCGUGGGGCUCACUGCGGCCCAGUAAAACCCAGCGCCCCGGAGGGCAGGACAUUUGCGGGUCCCUCUAAUCCGGACGGACGAGCGCCAGCCUGCUGGGUCCCUUCCUGCGGCUGCUGGAGGUGACGCGGGGCCGCAGGACGCGGGGUUCGCUCCCGGCGUCAGCCCUGUGUAGGGGAGUCCACCAGCGGGUCAGGAGGCGACCCUUCGCCCAGCUCCGUGGAGGGGAAGGGAGCCGACCCGGGGCGCAGAACAAGCAGGGGUGUGGUGACGAGGAUGGCGGGCAGAGUGAGGUGGUUUUACACCCAACGUGGGGCUCGAACUUAAAACCCAAGACCAAGCGCUGUAUGCCCCGCCGACUGAGCCACCAGCCGCGACAUCUUUCCUUUUUCUCAAGGGGUGUUCACGACUGUGUUGUUGAGUCUGCUGGCCUUUGCGAAUUUUCCUGCUGUUUCACGACAUGGUGGUCAGAAAAGCUACUCGGUAUGAGAUAUCAGUCCAGGUGUUCCUGAUGAAGUCCCAGAACCUAAGUCAGGUUCGGUGGGGUGAGGAGGUUCGGAGCCGACGACUAAAGAAAGAAUUCUUAAGACGUCAUUGGUGCAAAAUGGUGGUUUAUUAAAGCACGGGGACAGGACCCGUGGGCAGGAAGAGCUGCUGCUGCCCCGGGUUAUGAAGGUGGGCAUGUUAUAUACCCCACGGUUGGGGGGGAGGUGGUGAAGGAAUGGGGGAUUUCGACAGAGUUCUCACAUGCUAGGGAGGGUCUACAAGG